rnacentral:lncRNA from 1 species
AGGUGAAAUAAACAGCCAUGUUGCUCACACAAAGCCUGUUUGGUGGUCUCUUCACAGGGACACGGAUGAAAUUUGGUGCCGUGACUCGGAUCGGGGAACCUCCCUUAGGAGAUCAAUCCCCUGUACUCCUUUUCUUUGCCCUGUGAGAAAGAUCCACCUAUGACCUCAGGUCCUCAGACCGACCAGCCCAAGGAACAUCUCACCAAUUUUAAAUCAGCCACUGCCAGAGCCCCUGGAACUCUGGCCCAAGGCUCUCUGACUGACUCCUUCCCAGAUCUUCUCGGCUUAGCGGCUGAAGACUGACACUGCCCGAUCGCCUCGGAAGCCCCCUAGACCAUCACGGACGCCGAGCUUCGGUAACUCUCACAGUGGAAGAGACCUUGAAGAUUUGUUGUUCAAGGAGAAACUGAAGAGCAAGAAGGAAAGUGAGAGCCAGCAAUACCAGCAGAGCCAGAUCUGAGCUGGGAGAAGGGGAGAAAGUUUGUGAAGAGGAGAUCGGUGACCUGGGCUCCUUAUGUGCCUGAAAGAGUUUGAGUUUCCUGUUAACUCCAAAUCAACAGUAUUUUCAACAAGAAAUGUGCAAUUGAAAUCAAGUGCUGUUUAAGUGCAGCUAGGAUUUCCACAGGAAGACACUUGCAGUGAACAGAGUUAUGGAGCAGCAAAAACACAGAUCUAUUUGGAAAAAGAGAAAACAUAUGCGUUGUAUUUUGCUUCAAUUAUAAAAUACCAUCCUCUCAAAGGUGGUUCUAAAUUACAAAGGACUUUGAUUUCUAGGUAGAUUCUGGGUAGAGACUUCCUUUCAUAUUGAGGCAUUAAUGACACCUUUUAACCUGGGAAGCAAUAUGACUGGAGUUGUACUUUGAGAAGAUUAAUCAGGUUUGGUUGCAGAAUGAAAGAGAAGAUGAAGUCAAGAGAUUGGUUUAGAGGCUCUAGCAGAAGCUUAGUCAUAUUUCAAAAUGAUCAAAUAUCAAGAAAAAUUCUGAGCUGCAUAACUUGUAUAAAGUAAUUUUCAGUGAUUUUUUUCAUGGUUAUGAUAAAAGAACUGGAUUAGCAGAAACUUUUACCCUGAAUCAAGAUUUAAUUUUUCUUUGAGCUCAUCUUAAGGAUAUCGGAACAUAGGGAGCAAACGAUGGUGUGGCUGCCUCAGUGCUUGAUUUUUAACGGUUUUGAAGAGAAUAGUUACAUUUCUUCUCCUAGUAAGAACUAAUAAAUACAUUAACAGAAAUGAAUUCCCUAUCCCUUUGUACACUGGUCUAUUUCUUCAAAACAUUAAAUACUAUUGAUAAGAUA